rnacentral:lncRNA from 1 species
AGUCACGGGGUCUGCCUUGGCGUUGUGGUUCCGUCUUCUCCAUCCGUUGGAGACACCGGAAACGCGCUGAGGACCUGAGCAAAAAUAGCAUUUUGGGGCAGAACCGUGGGGAGGCGUUCUGACUGGAGAGAACUGUUGUGCCCAAAUCCGGAAGCCCAGGGUGUGGCCAAGUCCGGCUUUGCGCUCUCCUCUGCAACUUCUACUGCCGACUUUGAAUAUGCGGAAGUAGAAGCCGCCAUUCGGCAAAGAAGGAAUUCCACGCACACCUCAUAUCUCUUUAAAUAAAACGAGAUCUCUUGUGAAAGCUGCCGACAGAGAAGUGCUUGAUCUAUUCGAAACGGACGUCCUGAGACCAG